AGGGCACCACCAGAUGUGGAGCUUGCGGCUUAAUUUGACUCAACACGGGAAAACUUACCCGGCCCGGACACUGGGAGGAUUGACAGAUUGAGAGCUCUUUCUUGAUUCAGUGGGUGGUGGGGCAUGGCCGUUCUGAGUGGGGGAACGCAUUGGUAGGGCCAAUCCCAAAACCAACCCGCCCCCUAGCAAAUAAAGGAAAGGGCCAAAUUUUUCGGCCGGCCGGAUUACAAGAAAGGGGGGGGGGCUCCACCCCACCUUACGAUACCCCCCCUUUUUUCGGGGGUGCGCGAAAAAUCACCGGUGCUGGAGGGCCGGCCCCAACAAUGAUCAGGACAAACAUGAACUCCCUUCUCGGCUCCGUUUGGAGAGCCUAACCAACCGCCUUUCUGCGGGAAUGGAAGAUUAUAUUGUCUCCCCUCGCCGAGAAAAAAGAAUAUCCAGCAAGUCAAGUCUUGGUUGCUUUCGACACGACCCUGCACCCCGCACACAUGGCUGUCAAUAUUUCUAUUGUAUGGUUAA
rnacentral:rRNA from 1 species